rnacentral:lncRNA from 1 species
GCACGAGCUGCCGAGCUGCUGCUGCUUCUUUGAGUCAUGUUCAAACAAACUAUAAAAAUGAAUUAUUACCAAAACUCAAGCAGAGACUCAGCCCCCUCUUUUUAAGCUCAGGAAUUGGGGAGUCCCGUACGAGAACGUAAGUGGGGUUUUAUUUGUGCACAUUACACCACAAUUGGCCUCCUUAAUGUCCGUCUCAUUCAUGCCACGGGGUGAUUUAUGAGCUCCUGAAGGCAAACAUG